GUCAGGGUCGCCAAGAAUGGUAUGGCGUGUGUCUGAAAAAUACAUUUCCCUCGGAUACAUGGGUUCAAAUCCUAUCCCUGACG
rnacentral:tRNA from 1 species